UACCUGGUUGAUUCUGCCAGUAGUCAUAUGCUUGUCUCAAAGAUUAAGCCAUGCAAGUCUAAGUAUAAGCAACUAUACGGUGAAACUGACGAAUGGCUCAUUAAAUCAGUUAUU
rnacentral:ncRNA from 1 species